UCUCUGGUAGUAUAUCGGAUAGUACACCCGCCUGUCAUGAAUUGAUCCGUCAUCAUCGGCCGCGGGAGAGCGGGGUUCGACUCCCCGCCAGAGAG